AUAUGGAUCCUAUAAAUCCUAUAAUCAAACUUUUUUGACAAACCCUAGAUUGGUAUGUUCUCUCUUCUUCAAUACGCUGGUUCUUCUCAUUCUUCGCCGCCGAUCCAUCAUCCAAACCCGAUUGGGAAUCAAGACUAGAAGAUGGAGUUUCGGGAUCCAUAAGAUUAAUCGCCACUACCAUUCACUUGAAACACUAAUUAAGUUCUUAGGGUGUAGGGAGUGGGCGGCAAAGGGGUUCGGCAAAGUGACUUUGCCGCUCGGGCACACUGCCGCCAACCUCCUUUGCCGCCCGGUGAGGGUUGGUAAUCGGUGUUUGGUUACCGAUCGGUGAAGAUGAUGAGUAAUGUAUUGGGGAGCGAUGAUUGGAUGGUAUAUUGUGUUUUAUGUUUUUUUUUAAAACGAGUUUCUUGAUCCUCUUGCAUACACUCACUUCACCACUGAGGGUGGGGUGGAAUUUCGAAGUGUAGUCUACAUUCCCGGAAUGGCACCAAUAAACAAUGAUUAAUUUCCGAUGAUUGGAUGGUAUAUACGUCUGUACGUGAAACGUGUAUUCAUUUCCGAUGAUUUCGAUGGCGAACUGUUUCCUAGAUACUUGAGCUUUGUAAAGGGUGUGGUAGAUUCAAAUGAUCUUCCCCUCAAUGUUUCACGAGAAAUUCUUCAAGAAAGUCGAAUUACAAGCUCAGAUGGCAUUCAAAAGGAAGUUGACUGCGGUCAAAGACGAGAUUCAUAGGUUAAGUCAGAUCAUUCCGAAACUGCACACUGAAAGAGAUGCACGCCCGCGUGAUUUGAUUGAUAGAGGAAGGAAGCUCGAGGCGGAGCUUCAUGAUGCCGAGCCUUUGAGGGCGGAUGUUAGUCAUUUGAGAAAUGAGGCGCAAAAGUUGAAUUCGUUAAGGCAAGAGUUGUCGAAUCAGGUUCAGACUCUAGACUCUUACUGAGGAUUUUAGCAGAUUGAGAGCGGAGAAUGAACGGGUGCGGCUAUUAAGACGGAUAUUGAUGGGAUGCAUAAAGAUGUUGUGGAAAUGAGCAGAGAUUAUGAAAUGUUGAAGAAAACGAACGAGGAGCAUUUGAUUCAAAAGGAAGCAAUGGAUACGCUUGAUACAUUUGAUAACAAUCCAGAUUAACGCUUUCUUUUAUUCCUAAUAGGACACGCUGCUCGCCAUUUUCAUUGCUGAAUUAUCAAUCAAAGACGAUGAGGAUGAUAUUGCUGUGGUUCAAGUUGGGGUUUGCUUCCACUGCUGCUGUCACGGCUCAAUUCAGCUAUAAAGAUCUUUUGCUCGAUCGUUACUCUUUUUCUUCACAGGACUAGGUGGGUUUUGAUUUAUAUAUGAUCUAAGAAUAAAUGUGGUUGCCGAGAUUAGGUUAUUUCUGAUUUAUUCAUGAUUCGAAAAUUAAUGGGGCUGUCGAGAUUUGAACAAUACGAUGUCAUCGAUGAUGGUUGAAUGGUUUUUGAAGAUCUUUUAGGAAAUCCGACAAGGGUUUCCAUUUCACUCCAACUGAUGGAGUGAUGAUCGGAAAAGGGUAUGGCUUGCGGCUGAGAUAAUACGAUCAUGAUUAGUUGAUUGCUGUGGUCAGUUUGUUAAUAGGACCAAACGUGAUGCCAUAUAUUUGAUUUCAGCCAUACCCUUUAACAGGUAUUACACGUAUCGUAGUCUGCCUCACAUUAAGUAAUAUUGUAUAUUUAUUUCAGCCCUACCCGAGUGAUUUUUGUUAAUGAUAUCUAAGUGGUUAUUUGGAUUUUGUUUGAUUAAAUGUUGACCCACAAACUUCUUGAUUUUUUGGUUUUGAUGGCUUCCAUUUUCACUUAUAAACUGCUAUAUUUUUGUGUUGUUAGUGCUUUGUUUUUUAGAAAGAAAGAAGACUAAUUUUUUCGUAUUCAAAAGUGUGUUUGAAUAAAUGUGGUGUUACAUAUCUGCCAGAGGUACAUAUCUGCCAGAGGUGUUACAUAUCAAAUGUGGUGUUACAUAUCUGCCAGAGGUACUUUCGAUUAGUUCUUUGAAAUUGUCUAAAUGCCUUUCUCAGCCGGUGAUUUCAAUUCGGUUAUAUAAGAGGUACUUUUGUUGGGUUUAUUAACGUUUUUGUUCAGAAUUGGACAUUGGUAGUUUUCUAUUUAUUAUGUAUGUGUAGUGGCCAUUUUGUGUUAAAUGACUUAGUUGAAACCACCAUAUGGCUUGAAGAAGCUCCAGUUAUAACAAUUUUCAAUAUUUAUUUUUGUUUCUAAGGUUGCACUUGACUCGAGCAAGCCUAGCCCGUCGGCAUCUGAUUAUGAUAGCGGAAGUCAAAUAACAAAUGCCAGCCCUUCUAAUAUGACUAUUAUGGAUCAGUUUCCUGCUAUGAAAAUUCAAUCCAGAGAUGUAGCAAAACCACCAAGAGCUGGUGGUAGGAGGUGUGGCGGUGGUGUCAGCGAAAGGGUGGUGUGAGUUUCCAGCGUUGCAAGGUGGUGUCAAAGGGGAAGGUAGAAGUUGUAUUGCAGAGUUGUGGCGGAGGUGCUCCUUUGGCAACCGGAGUUGCAGGUGGCAGAGGUGCUCCUUUGGCAGCGGGAGUUGCAGUUGGCAGCGGGAGUUGGAGUUGGCAACGAGAGUUGCAGAUAGUGGAAUCGGAAGGUGUUGCCCUAAUGCAAUUGUCAACUUGAUUAGCAAUCCUGUGAAUUCUACGGUUCCAAUCGCUGCAGAAGUUUUCAAGAAAGUUGGUACUUAUGAACUGUUGCUUGAUUUCUACAGAGUUUUUCAUGAUGUUCAUGUUUGGAUGUGACGAAAUACUUAUAUGGAAGAAAGAAAGGUUACAAAUGGAGCUGCAAAGGUAAAUUAUAUAAGAACUAGGUUUUUAAGCGGUUAUUAUAAUGUAUUUAUCUUAUUUCGACUUACUACGGUUUUUAAAGGAGAACAGGUCAAUAAAUAGGUUUUAACUAUAAAAGGAACCGGUUGAGUCAGUUUUAAAUCAUGACAACCAUUUUUGUUGUGUAAACAUGUGGUCUAAGCAUUAUAAACCUCAUUCUUUUUAGUAGUUCUAUGGGGGUAUGCAAGACUUUGUUGGUGUAGUUGUAUUAUGGACAAAACCUAUUCUUACCUGAACCAAAUUGACCAUUAAAAAAAAAUAAGUCGUUUUGACCUAUACUAAUUUUGUCAAAAACCAUCCAUGCCCAUUAUGUUGCCUGACCUCCCCACCCGUCUUGCCAGGUAUAGUUUUAACGCGUUUGUGACAUGGUUUCAUAUAUAAUUUCAUCAUUUUAGCCGUUUAGGCAUGGUUUCAUAUAUGAUUUCAUCACUUGAGAUAUGUAAAGAGUGACUCUGUAAUUAGAAAUAACAUGAUGACUACUCCUCGCACAAUUUGAAGACUACAAUCGUUUGCGCAAUUUUUUAGUCUCAAUCACAGUGUAAAGAGCAGAGUGUAAAGAAAGAACAUACAGAAGUGGAAUGAGCAAGUCAUUAUGUCUCUCUAAAUUACUUGCUCUUUACGUCCGCAUGUAGCGCCCGGUAUGUAGUUUUCGUAUAGAAUUUUUUAGGUAUAUACGUUUUCGACCCCCCCCCCCCCCCCCCCCGGUUUUAUAUUUUUUAGGUAUAUACGUUUUUGACCCUUCGGUCGGAAAUCUCAAGCUUCGCCACUGCUGCAGGUAAUGUUCUUACAAUGGCAGUCCUGGUGUUAGUUUUACCUGCAUUAGGCUACAAUCUCGGAAGUGCUAUCAAGAAAAUAUAGUUUUGUUUUAGUCAUAUCUUUUAGGAUGUUAUGGCAGAGGGGGGGAUCUUAAAGAGGUCAUUGUUGUAAACAAGAUAAUUCGUAAUCUAUUUGUUGUUCAUAGAUAAAUAGUAGGCUUGGCAAAACCGGUUUAUUGGGUUUGGUAACAGGUCAGAACUGGCCAGAUUAAAAGUGGGUUCAACAGUUUCGAGACGUAGCACAUGCAACAGCGUUAGCAUAAUUUUCUCAUGAGUAGAUGGACACGGCUUCUGUGCUUCAAGAAGCUCAUAUCUCUAUCAAUCUCCUUCAUGAACAGAUUAAGCCAAGGUCGAAGCGCAACAAAUUAUGGUUGCCUAUUCAUGGAUUCAAACCUUCAAUUGCAACCAUCAAUUCUAACAAUGAUUCUAACAUUCAAAUGCAACAAAUUAUGCUUGCCUAUUCAUGGAUUCAAAUCUUCAAUUGCAAUCAUCAAAGUUUAAUGAAGAAGAUGACAAAGUAUGCAAAGGAAGGCAUGAGGGUGGAAGCAAGCAAAUCAGAAAUUUAUGGAACAAAGCAUGAUGCUUUUGUUGACAUGAUUGCAAGUGUAUUUAUUUAAAUAUCUUAUAUGACUUCUUAUAAUGAUUGGCAUUGUGAUUGGCUUCUAACUUUUGAUGUCAAAUCUUAACACUUUGUUUAUGUAACAUGACACUUUGUUUGUGUUUUAUUUUGUUUCGGUUAUACACUUAAUAUAUGAUCCUUAAUAGUU